UCCUUUGUAGCUGAGUUGGUAAAGAAUCUGCCUGCAGUGCAGGAGACCCGGGUUGGAUUCCCGGGUUGGGAA
rnacentral:tRNA from 1 species